rnacentral:rRNA from 1 species
AUGGCUGGCGCAAACCUCCUCGGGAGCCGUCCGAUCGAGUUUGAUCGUGCGGCGCUGGCAUCUCUCACGCCCCCGCCUAGACAGCAACACGGGCUCAGCAGCCUCAGCUUCGACUGCAUCGCGCUCGACCGCCUAGCGUCUCAGGGAGAUGGAAGCAGGGGCGUCAGAUCCGGGCGCUACUCAAGCAGUAGCUGGUGUGAGAGGCGACGCGGCGAGCCACGGCGACGGCGGCUGGAUCAAACUAGGAGAAUCGAUGACGACGCUCUGCCACGCAGAGCCUCAACAAUGGAUAAUGCAAAGUCUAUUGAUGGAUCAUUCUCAACACGGGUUUCAACAAGCCGCUUGGGUACAGUUGCUAAGAAAAAUCUGGGCGAUAAUAAGAGGGCAAUCUUAAUUGGUUGCUGCUCCAAGAGCGGACCAGCAGCUGCUGCGACAGCCUGA